rnacentral:rRNA from 1 species
UACGUAGGGGGCAAGCGUUGUCCGGAUUUAUUGGGCGUAAAGAGCGUGUAGGCGGCUUGGUAGGUCCGCUGUGAAAACUCGAGGCUCAACCUCGAGAUGUCGGCGGAAACCACUUGGCUAGAGUCCGGAAGAGGAGAGUGGAAUUCCCGGUGUAGCGGUGAAAUGCGCAGAUAUCGGGAAGAACACCUAUGGCGAAGGCAGCUCUCUGGGGACGGUACUGACGCUGAGACGCGAAAGCGUGGGGAGCAAACAGG